rnacentral:lncRNA from 1 species
GGCCCAGUUCCCUUUCAGGACAAGGCCUGAGGCUCUGGGAAGUGGCCGCAGAUAGCCGCAGGUGCUGGGCCGGGGCUGGCGUGGAUGCAAGACUGGGGGCGAGUGUGAUCCCUCCGCCCCCGCCCCCAUGUGGGGGACCCGGAGCCUCGUCUGCUGUCAGAUCUGGUGCUGAGUUUCCCAGCUCCAGGGGCUCGCCAGAUGCUCCCCAGAACACUGGGCCUAAAAGAUUGCUUUCCAGUGUCUUCCUGGGCUCCUCGAAGCAGGGAAGGGGUGACGACUGUGACACUGGCGGACAGCAGCAGGAUCCAUUCAGGGCCAGCUUCCAGAAACAAAGGCUUUUCCUGGCACCCAGGUCCAGCGUCAGCCCUCCGGGUUGCCAAGUCCUGCCAGCUGCUCGGCCCCCUUGGGGCUGGGAAGAGCCCUCUGCCCCGGCCAGCGCCCUCCAUCCUGUGCGUCCCCCCACCUGUCUUCCCUUGGAACGCUGCUCCCCAGAUGCCCCAGAGGCAGCAGCCGCUCCCCCCGCCUCCAUCUGUGCCCGCGUCUGAGGUGUUAGCGCUUCGGCUGCGGCGCCAGCGAACUGCCCGAUUCAUUACUAAGCAGCCUGAUUUCAGUCGCCCGGAACUGCCCUGUGCAGCGCCCGCCCGGGGGGACCCGUCGGUCACGGUCACAGCGCUUGGGCGGCUCUGACGUCGGGUGGCGGGACGGAGCCCACGCGUGUUUCGGCUCCGCUCCCUCCACCCUGGCCCAGCCCUGACACGUGAAGGGCCCUCAGAAGGGACGGCGCCGAAGGAAAUUCGAUCAGGCUCGGAGAUCUGAGAGCCGGUAUUGAUGGCUGCAGAUUGGGACGCUGGGCACGCGGCCUUUGAAAGGCCUAAUCCUGGCAGAAGCUCAGACGCUCCCCCGAGAAGCCAUCGGGCGGGUGGAGGAGCCUGUUUCUGCAGGAGGAGGGGGGCCGAGGGCCCCGGGAGGGGAGGGGGCAGCGGGUGCCAAUCUGGGCUCUAGAGCUCAGGUUACUCCAGCUCUCUGAGCCUCCGUUUCCUCAUCUGUAAAAUGGGGACCAGAGCAGCACCUCCCCCAGGCCUGGCACGCCCUCAGGGCCUGUCCACACACGGCCUCGAGANNNNNNNNNNNNNNNNNNNNNNNNNNNNNNUCCCGGGGCCCUUUUCCCUCCAGGCUUUGGGCAGUGGCCUCCUGAGCCGCCUCAGGGGUCUGCCCCAAGCCUCCCAUUCACUCAAAUGCUCCUUGGAGCACCUCUGCCUCAGGAGCCGGCUGGGGAAACUGAGUCAGGGCCCCUGGGGCAGAGGAGGCCGGGAGACGCCUGGCUCGGUGGACCCCCACCCAGGCGGGAAAUAGGACUGAUCCGAGGAGUGGGGCUGGCCGGCCAGGCGGGCUUCUGGGAGGGGGCUCCAGGGCGGCCGGAGGAAGGGCCGGGUCCUGCAUUUCCUGCCGUGUGGUCUGGGCCACCCUUUCCCCACCCACUGACCCGCCCGCCUCCCAGGACCUCAGCAAGGAAUAAAUUACAGAGUGGCUGG